rnacentral:lncRNA from 1 species
ACUUGCUAAGAAGUCAUCUGACUUGGAAGGAUAUUUCCCAGAGAAUAUGAGAACAUAUCAGAUCAACUCUGCAAAGGAUUGGCCUUCUUCACUCAGCCUACCUGGAAUGACUUGAGGGAAGAACCUCCAUAGCUGAGUGGGGAACCCAGACCAAUGAAAUGUGAAAGAAGGUGCCUAAAACCUGACACCCCAGCUUGCCAAGGGGCAUUUUGAGAUCCCACCUCGCCUGGCAUCGCAGCAGGGGCAACGAAACUCAACGGAAGAUCCCUGUGGAUCAGCUUGUACCUUUUUCCUGCUGAAAGGCUGUGCAGAAAGCAAGGAUGAAGCAACUGCAAGAUUUAUGUUGGAACUGGUUCCCCAUGGAUCAGAAUCCCCAUCCUGUUCCCCAGACAGAGAGCAUUCGGACUUGUCCCAAGCACAGCUUCAGCCACACACCUGCAGGAUGGAAACAGGCAGAGCAAACAAUGAAACGAGGCUGUUUAUAAAGCCUUCAACACGUCAGGCAGGGAGAAGAGCCCAAGUUUCCACGUCAAGGCCUAAACGGACCAGAAUGACGCAAAACACAUGGAAAAUAUGGAAAAUGUGGAAUAAGUAAUAAAAUUAUAAAUAAAACAAAUACAAUAAAUUGGGAAUGCA